AGGACGAACGCUGGCGGCGUGCUUAACACAUGCAAGUCGAGCGGAAAGGCCCUUCGGGGUACUCGAGCGGCGAACGGGUGAGUAACACGUGAGCAACCUGCCCUUAGCUUCGGGAUAGCUCCGGGAAACCGGAAUUAAUACCGGAUAUGACUAUGGCCGACAUCAGCCAUGGUGGAAAGUUUUUCGGCUAGGGAUGGACUCGCGGCCUAUCAGCUAGUUGGUGAGGUAACGGCUCACCAAGGCGACGACGGGUAGCCGGCCUGAGAGGGCGACCGGCCACACUGGGACUGAGACACGGCCCAGACUCCUACGGGAGGCAGCAGUGGGGAAUAUUGCGCAAUGGGCGAAAGCCUGACGCAGCGACGCCGCGUGGGGGAUGAAUGCCUUCGGGUUGUAAACCCCUUUCAGCAGGGACGAAGCGAAGUGACGGUACCUGCAGAAGAGCGCCGGCUAACACGUGCCAGCAGCCGC
rnacentral:rRNA from 1 species